UAUAGGAAAUUACUACCCUGCAUGCCCUCCACCCAUUGUACAUCUCAAAAUAUUACUUUAUCCAUCCAACAAACAAUCCAUCACACCAUAUAAAAGGCCACAGAGCCCCACGAAAAAAAUAUUCAAUUCAAUUCCCACUGUUUAUGGCUCUGUAGAUGCCCACACAAGAUCAUUCUCUCGUCUUUCUAAUCCCACCUCCUUUACUUCUUCAACAAAAUUUAACUCAACUCCCGGGCUGUUUUUCUCUGUUCCUCUAAUCCUCCGCCUCACGAAAAUUGUCUUCACCGUCAGACAAAAAGCGAAGUUGUUAUAGAUUCGGGAAGAGGAAGAAGAAAGGUUGCCUUUCUAGUCUUUCUCGGACAAGGGGUCAUAAUUU